rnacentral:rRNA from 1 species
GCCUGCCCAGUGACUACGGGUUCAACGGCCGCGGUAUAUUGACCGUGCAAAGGUAGCGCAAUCACUUGUCUUUUAAAUAGAGACCUGUAUGAAUGGCUAGACGAGGGCUUAACUGUCUCCCCCUUCCAGUCAGUGAAAUUGAUCUAUCCGUGCAGAAGCGGGUAUAAUACUACAAGACGAGAAGACCCUUUGGAGCUUAAGGUACAAAAUUCAGCCACGUUAAGCAACUCAGUAGAAAGCAAGAACUUAGUGGCCAUGAAGUUUUACCUUCGGUUGGGGCGACCACGGAGGAAAAGCAAGCCUCCGAGUGGACCGGGCCAAAAUCCCUAAAGCCAAAAGAGACAUCUUUAAGCCGCAGAACAUCUGACCAAUAAUGAUCCGGCUGAAAGGCCGAUCAACGGACCAAGUUACCCUAGGGAUAACAGCGCAAUCCUCUCCCAGAGACCAUAUCUACGAGGGGGUUUACGACCUCGAUGU